rnacentral:rRNA from 1 species
UACGGAGGGGGCUAGCGUUGUUCGGAAUUACUGGGCGUAAAGCGCGCGUAGGCGGACCUGCAAGUCGGGGGUGAAAGCCCGAGGCUCAACCUCGGAACUGCCUUCGAUACUGGAGAGCUUGAGUCCGGGAGAGGUGAGUGGAACUGCGAGUGUAGAGGUGAAAUUCGUAGAUAUUCGCAAGAACACCAGUGGCGAAGGCGGCUCACUGGCCCGGUACUGACGCUGAGGUGCGAAAGCGUGGGGAGCAAACAGG